rnacentral:piRNA from 1 species
UAAACAAGUUGCCACUGGGUACUAAUGGA